rnacentral:rRNA from 1 species
CCUACGGGGGGCAGCAGUGGGGAAUAUUGGACAAUGGGCGAAAGCCUGAUCCAGCCAUGCCGCGUGUGUGAAGAAGGCCUUCGGGUUGUAAAGCACUUUCAGUGGGGAAGAAAGCCUUGGGGCUAAUACCCUCGAGGAAGGACAUCACCCACAGAAGAAGCACCGGCUAACUCCGUGCCAGCAGCCGCGGUAAUACGGAGGGUGCGGGCGUUAAUCGGAAUUACUGGGCGUAAAGCGCGCGUAGGCGGUCUGAUAAGCGCGGUUGUGAAAGCCCCGGGCUCAACCUGGGAACGGCAUCCGGAACUGUCAGGCUAGAGUGCAGGAGAGGAAGGUAGAAUUCCCGGUGUAGCGGUGAAAUGCGUAGAGAUCGGGAGGAAUACCAGUGGCGAAGGCGGCCUUCUGGACUGACACUGACGCUGAGGUGCGAAAGCGUGGGUAGCAAACAGGAUUAGAUACCCCAGUAGUC